AUUGAUACCUUUUCUCAGACAAUCCCUAGUGGCACUGAGGUUUACUUACCCACAGGGUAACCAGCUCAGUAACUUGGUUUUGCAUUGACUUUCCAUUCUUCCUUGGUCACUCUUCUCAUUCGGGUCACUCUUGAGUCCUGAGAUCGCUGCUCCAAACAAGCGACCUUUCCUUAACUCAAGGAGUCUAGAAAAAAUAAAUAAAAUAAAAAGCAACAAAAACCAAAAAGCCUACAAAUGACCAGCCCACAAAGCUCUCAUCUCAGUCUCUACUUUUUUGAGUGGGAAGGAACCCAACUAACACAUACAUAUCUAUUAGCUUCUUGGCCUAAAGAACUUACAGUCAAUCAGAGAACACUAAACAUAUCCAAAUAACUAAAAUAAAAAUCAAUGAAACAAAGCUAUAAAAUGGAAGUUCAGAGGUUGCUUAAAUUGAGUGAAAAAAAAUCUUAGAAAUGAUGUGUCUUUUUUUUUUUUUUUCCAUUAGGUCUUGAAGGAAGACUUUAACUUUGGAUUUUUCAAUGUGUAAUGAUGAAGAAUGGAAAGGCCAUUCUAAACAGAAAGAUAAAGAGAGCAAAGGCAGGUAUACCCAGGCCUAUUCUUGGACUGGUAUCCCAGUUUGACUGGACCGUGAGGUUCAUGAAAAACAACAGUAGGAUAGGAGUGUGGAAAGUUAUAUUAAGACUAUAUUGUCAAGGAUCUUGAAAGUCAAACCACGGAGUUAGAGCUUGAAAAUAGAGGAAAGUCAUUAUUUAAACUUCUUUGAAGCAUAAUAGUGGGAGGCAAAUUCAAACCAUGAAAUGUAUGCUAAAAAUAGGAGAACUAUUGUUCUGUAAUGGAAUUGCAAAAAUUGUAAGAACUGGAUUUUCCCAUUUUCUCUAGGAUGAUUGCACUUUCUGUAUUGAACUUCAAGAUUUCAUAACCAAGUUUCAACUACUCAGCAAGCAGUUAUGUAUUCGUUUUCAAGGUCUAUUUUAACAAAGUCUAUUUUAACAAGCUGGGUGGCCUAAACAACUGAAAUUUAUUCCCAUAGUUCUGGAGGCUGAAAGUCCAAAAUCAAGGUGUUGGCAGGGUUGGCUGCUUUUGAGAGGAGAGAGGGAAGGAUCCAUUUCUACUGUGGACAACCCAGUCUCUUUUCUUAACUCAUAGAUGGCUGUCUUUUCUCUGUCUCUUCACAUCGUCUUCCCUCUAUGCCUGUCUGUCUCUGUGUCCAAAAUUCUUUUUUUUUUUUAAUAAGGACACCAAUUACAUUGGAUUAGGGCCCACUCUAAUGACCUCAUUUUAACUAAGUACAUCUCCCAACAACCUUAUUUCCAAGGAAGGGGUAAUUCUGAGGUUCUGGGGUUCAGGACUUCAACAUAUGAAUUUUCGGAGACACAAUUCAACUUGUUACACCCUGUAAAUCCGAAAAAGAAUUCCCUGAAAGGAACCUAAAGUCACUUAGAGUUUAUUUAAUAAACUCAAAAUUUUUAGACGUUAGAUCAGUCCUAUACAUAAAUAGCUGAUCUCAUAAGUGGUUUUAAGGAUGCUGGCGGGAGGUUGAAAUUGUAUUGGUGGAGUCUCCUGCCAAAGAAUUCAAAGUUGGAAGAUGAAGAAUUCAGGCCAAAGUAUGAUAAAUAUCAAUGAAAAUAAGAGAGAUUUCACAGAUAAAUGAGAGGAAGUAUUACAGAAUGGGUAAAUAUGCAAGCCCUUAAUCAAGUCUGGGUUUCAAUUCUAGCUCCGUCAUGUAUUUGCAGAUGAUCUUGGACAAGUUACUUAAACUUUCUAAGCAUAGAUUUCAUUAUUUGUAAAAUAUAGUCUUAGAGUAGCUAGCCAAGACCUUUAGAUUUCCAAGUAUAAAUUAAAAGACUGGUCAAAUAUGUCUCCCAAACUACAGUUUUCACAUAGCGAGCUUUCCAAGUGGUACUGUUGAAGCCCUUUCCCUAGGACCUAGGUCAGAGGGAGCACACCCCACCCAUCCUUCUUGAGGGUAAAUGAAACUCAUAAUAUACCAAAACCUCUCUCCAAAAUGCUCUUCUAAUGUAUAACUCCUCUCAGUCUCUCCAAUCCCCUUUAUUGGCUAGAGAUGGGUAGUUAGCAAAGGUCACAAAACCAGUUAUCUAGUCUCACACCUCACUCGGGGGACCUCCACCAAAAUUGAGACUAACCUAGUUCCAUUUUAUCAGCCUGCUAUACUAGCGAGACUGCAGUGGGAUGGGCAUUUCAUAUGGCAAUAAUAGGAGGGCAAAGUAAUUUGGAGAUAUAUAUAUAUAUAUAUAUAUAAUUUGAAAAUACUCAUGCUCUUUGAUCUGUCAGUUCCACUUUUAGGAAUUUAUCCUAAGGAAAUAAGUUGAAAUGUGAACAAAUAUUUAUUUAUAAGUAUGUUAACUGUGAGGUUAUUAGCAGCCAUGGAAAAUUGGAGACAUUCCAAAUUUCUAACAAUGGGGGAAUGUGUUUAAUGACAUAUUGUACAACCAUUUAAUAUAAUGUAUAGGAUUAAGAUGGUAAUUUUUAUGUUAUGUCUUUUUCACUACAAUUUUUAAAAAAAUGUAUAGGGCCUGGUGUGGUGGCACAGUUUCUGUAAUCCCAGCAACUCAGGAGACUGAGGCAGGAGGAUCGCUUGAGCCCAGGCAUUCGAGGCUGCAGUGAGCUAUGCUUAUAUUACAAUAUAAAUAAAAAGCAUAGGAUACAAAAGUAUAUGUACACUAUGAUUUCAACUAGGUUAAAAUAUGCAUAGAAAAUGGUCUAGAUGAAAUAUGAAAAAAUUAUCACUGCUUGCCUACAACUGGUGUUUGUUUUUGUUUUUAUACUUUUCUGUACUUGAAAAAUUUACAACAAACAAAUAAGGAAAUGGGGCUUAGGAGACCAAAAAUAGGUCUCUCCAGUGGAACAAUAGAGAAUAAAUAAAGGUUAUAAAGCUGGGCUUUGUAAACCGGCAUGCUGGGAUUAAAUCCUGGCUCAAUUUCUCUGUAGAAGAGAAAAGAGAGGGCACAAAUCCUCUGUCCAUAGAUGAAUUCCUUCACCCUUCCUAGCCUCCUUUUUCUCAUCUAUAAAAUGGGCAUAAUACUGGUACCUCUCUCAUAUGGUUGUUUUAGAAAUCGGUGGUACAAUGUGUGUAACUGACUUAUCUCAGGGUCAUGGCUAUUCACUCUAGAGGUGGCAGACACAGUGGGGAAGAGAAGCAUCUCGGACCUCCACCUGAAUUUUGCUUCUUCCACCUUCUUCUAGUGACUUUGGGUGGUUAUGUACUCCUUCUCUGCUUUAUUACUGUGGAGACGUAAAAUGAGAGUAAUGGAAAUACCUGUCUCAUACUAUUGUUACGAGGAUUAAGUGAGUUAAUACAUAUAAUGUCUAUAGAACAGUUCCUGGCAUUAAGCAAAAGCUCAAUAAAUGUUAGAGUUAUUAUUAUGUCAUUAUCAUCAUUCUUCUUGUCCUUA
rnacentral:lncRNA from 10 species